GAGCUGUGAGGAUCGGAAAUGGCACCCGACACGCUGUCUAGUUUUAGGCAGUAAACAGGUAUGCAGGAUACGCCGCCCUGCCAGAGUUC
rnacentral:ncRNA from 1 species